rnacentral:rRNA from 1 species
CCUACGGGAGGCAGCAGUGGGGAAUAUUGCGCAAUGGGCGGAAGCCUGACGCAGCGACGCCGCGUGGGGGAUGACGGCCUUCGGGUUGUAAACCUCUUUCAGCAGGGACGAAGCGAGAGUGACGGUACCUGCAGAAGAAGCACCGGCCAACUACGUGCCAGCAGCCGCGGUAAUACGUAGGGUGCAAGCGUUGUCCGGAAUUAUUGGGCGUAAAGAGCUCGUAGGCGGUUUGUUGCGUCGGCUGUGAAAUCCCGAGGCUCAACCUCGGGUCUGCAGUCGAUACGAGCAAACUAGAGUGUUGCAGGGGAGACUGGAAUUCCUGGUGUAGCGGUGAAAUGCGCAGAUAUCAGGAGGAACACCGGUGGCGAAGGCGGGUCUCUGAGCAACAACUGACGCUGAGGAGCGAAAGCGUGGGGAGCGAACAGGAUUAGAUACCCUGGUAGUCCACGCCGUAAACGUUGGGCGCUAGGUGUGGGGCUCAUUCCACGAGUUCCGUGCCGCAGCUAACGCAUUGAGCGCCCCGCCUGGGGAGUACGGCCGCAAGGCUAAAACUCAAAGGAAUUGACGGGGGCCCGCACAAGCGGCGGAGCAUGUUGCUUAAUUCGAUGCAACGCGAAGAACCUUACCUAGGCUUGACAUGCACGGAAAUCUCGCAGAGAUGCGGGGUCCGUAAGGGCCGUGCACAGGUGGUGCAUGGUUGUCGUCAGCUCGUGUCGUGAGAUGUUGGGUUAAGUCCCGCAACGAGCGCAACCCUCGUUCUAUGUUGCCAGCACGUCAUGGUGGGGGACUCAUAGGAGACUGCCGGGGG